rnacentral:tRNA from 1 species
AAGGUUUUAAGUUAAAUAAACUAAUAGCCUUCAAAGCUAUAAUUAAAAUAAAUUUUUUAAGCCUUA